rnacentral:lncRNA from 1 species
UUUCCCCCUUUUCCCCGAAUUUUUCCCAUUUCCCCUGGAUUUUUUUCCCACUUUCUCUCCAUGUUUCCCAUUUUCCCCACUUUUUUCCCCAUUUCCCCCUGUUUUCUUCCCCCCUUUCCCCGGAUUUUCCCCAUUUCCCCUGGAUUUUUUUUCCCAUUUUCUCCAUUUUUCCCCAAUUUCCCCCAUUUUUUCCCCAUUUUUCGCCCGCAGCCGCCACGCCCACGGCCGCCGCCUGAGGAGAGCCCCGGGGAGCCCCAAUACAGCGACAUCGUCUGCAGGAGCCCCCCCGAGGGCAACGACCAGGGUCCCAGCGCCCCCGAGGCCCUGCAGGAGCCCAGCGCACCCCAAAAAUCCGAGCCUGGUGAACCCCAAAAAUCCGAGCCAGACGAACCCCAAAAAUCGGAGCCUGGUGAACCCCAAAAAUCGGAGCCCGGUGAACCCCAAAAAUCGGAGCCCGGUGAACCCCAAAAAUCCGAGGCCGCGGCCCCAAAAGCCUCCCCGGGGGGGACGAGCGGAGCGGCCCCGAGGACGCGGCCCAGGAGGUGACAUAGGACAGCUGCCGCCGCGCCGGGACCCCCGGACGGGCCGGGGGCGUCGAGUGCCAACCCGACCCCAAAACCGCGCCCCGACCCCAAAAGAGCGGCCCCGCGGGACCCCGACCCCACAGCGGCACGGAUCCCCCCUCCCGACCCCAAAACCCGCGGUUGUCCCAAAUCCUGCCUGGGACUGCGCUGGGGAGGGGAUCCCGAUCGCGGGUGGGAUUUGGGGGAUUUGGGGUCCCCGGGUGCUCCCGGUGGGUUUUGGGGUGGGGGGCCUCCCCCGACCCCACAGCGGCACGGAUUUCCCUCCCGACCCCAAAACCCGCGGGUUUGUCCCCAAAUCCUGCCUGGGACUGUUUUGGGGUGGGGGCUUCGGGGCGGGGGGGGUCCCGGGUGGGUCCUCGGGGGUUUUUGGGGUCCCCGGGGGGGGGAUUUGGGAUCCUUGGGUGGGUUUUGGGGUCCCGGGGGGGUUCUGGGGUCCCUGAGAGGCUCCCCGGGGGGUUUUGGGGGUUCCCGGGGCUUUUUGGGGUCCCUGGGGGUUUUUGGGGUCCUGGGGGUUUCUGGGGUUCUCCGGGAUUGAGGAAAACCGGGAAUUCUCCGAGCCCCCAAAAGCCAGCACCCCCCAGUGUAAAUACUAAAUAAAUGUUGGUGACGUUUGGGGUGUCCUGGUGUGAUUUGGCGAAUUUUGGGGCGUUUCGGGGCGGUUUCAGCUGAUUUCGGGGCGGUUUAGGGCGAGUUUUGGGGUGAUUUGGGCUGGUUUUGGGGUGUUCUGGACUGGUUUUGGGGCUAUUUUGGGGCUGUUUUGGGGUAUUUGGGGCCGGGUUUGGCCCUGGGUUUGGGGCUAUUUUGGGACGCUAUUUUGGGGCUAUUUUAGGGCUAUUUUGGGGUAUUUGGGGCCGGGUUUGGCCCUGACUCCCUAUUUUCCCCUAUUUCCCCCAUUCUUGGCCCGGUUUAUGCCGGUUUUGCACUGUUUUUGCG